GUGCCUGUAGCUCAGUUGGAAGAGCAGGAGCCUUCUAAGCUUCUGGUCGGGGGUUCGAG
rnacentral:tRNA from 1 species